rnacentral:rRNA from 1 species
ACCGUCGACAGUCAGGUAACGAGCGAGACCCCUGCGUCUAGUUACUACCAUUACUCUCUGGAGCAGUGGAGCGAAUUAGACGGACCGCCACAGUUAAUGUGGAGGAAGGAAGGGGCCACGGCAGGUCAGUAUGCCCCGAAACCCUAGGGCUACACGCGGGCUGCAAUGGUAUUGACAAUGUGUUCCGAAUCCGAAAGGAGGAGGCAAUCAUCAAACAAUAUCUCAGUUAUGACUGAGGGCUGUAACUCGCCCUCACGAAUAUGGAAUCCCUAGUAACCGCGCGUCACUACCGCGCGGUGAAUACGUCCCUGCUCCUUGCACGAAU